rnacentral:rRNA from 1 species
GCACCACAAGAACGCGUGGAGCAUGUGGCUUAAUUUGACUCAACGCGGGAAAUCUUACCAGGUCCGGACACACUGAGGAUUGACAGGAAGUAUCGUCUUUUGAAUUCUUUAAGGAUAUGUCGUUUUUAAUGACAUCUUUUAGAUGGAUGAUUCGUGUAAAUAUGCUAGUUCUUUCAUGAUUAUGUGAUAGGUGGUGCAUGGCCGUUCUUAGUUCGUGGAGUGAUCUGUCUGCUUAAUUGCGUUUCACUAAGGCCCCAAAGUUAGCAAAUUAUCAAUCGUUACAGAGUCGACCCCUCACCUUUGAGUGCGCGUCCUAACUUGUAGUACAUGGUGUAAAUGGAUUUGUUUUGGGUACCCAGAAAGCAACGAACGUGACCGCAACGUCUUGUUGUCUCUCUUUGACAGUUAUGGGUUAUCCCAGUCAUGUGUUUAUACUUUUAUGUGUAAAUACGUACGACACAGAGACUAGAUACCAAACUAGGCGUACCGCUGUAUCAUU